rnacentral:rRNA from 1 species
GAUCCUGGCUCAGGAUGAACGCUAGCGACAGGCUUAACACAUGCAAGUCGAGGGGCAGCACGGGAGUAGCAAUACUUGGUGGCGACCGGCGCACGGGUGAGUAACGCGUAUGCAACCUACCUAUCAGAGGGGAAUAACCCGGCGAAAGUCGGACUAAUACCGCAUAAAACAGGGGCACCGCAUGGUGAUAUUUGUUAAAGAAAUUCGCUGAUAGAUGGGCAUGCGUUCCAUUAGGUAGUUGGUGAGGUAACGGCUCACCAAGCCGACGAUGGAUAGGGGAACUGAGAGGUUGGUCCCCCACACUGGUACUGAGACACGGACCAGACUCCUACGGGAGGCAGCAGUGAGGAAUAUUGGUCAAUGGGCGGGAGCCUGAACCAGCCAAGUCGCGUGAAGGAAAAGAAGGAUCUAUGGUUCGUAAACUUCUUUUGCAGGGGAAUAAAGUGCAGGACGUGUCCUGUUUUGUAUGUACCCUGAGAAUAAGGAUCGGCUAACUCCGUGCCAGCAGCAGC